ACAUGCCUACAUCAUAGCAUUAAUGCAAUGGAUCUCAUUAAAACUAUAGAGUUAAGCGCGCUCGGGAUAGAGUAGUACUAGGAUGGGUGACCGCUUUGGAAGUCCUAUUGUUUUACAUGCU
rnacentral:rRNA from 1 species